GUGAGAGCAAUCCAAGAAGUACAUCAGAAACAGAAAAAAAUGUGAGGAUGACCAGAUGCAAGCUGAAUCUCUUCUUGUUGGUGCUACAGCAGCCUUGGGCACGCUUAAUAAGAAGGAUGUAAAAGAUGUGUGGCUGUCCAGGUCUUUUCAAUUGUCAUUAUGACACAACAGUGGGAAAUAUUCAUCUCCAGAGAUCCUGGGUGGCAAUCUGUGUAAACUCACGGAUUCAUUAUUUGAGAAAGCAGUUGCAUAGAAAGUCUGAUGUCAAGAUGAUGUCAGCCAACAAACCAAAACUAUUGAGCUGGCUGAAGUGUUCAUCAAGGGCCUCGAGCAAAUCUCUCAGUGGAAUUUGGCAAUUAAGAAGAUUAAAUCAGUUUGGAAGAAAACCACUGUAA
rnacentral:lncRNA from 1 species